AGUGAACGCUGGCGGUAGGCCUAACACAUGCAAGUCGAACGGCAGCACAGUAAGAGCUUGCUCUUACGGGUGGCGAGUGGCGGACGGGUGAGGAAUACAUCGUAAUCUACUUUUUCGUGGGGGAUAACGUAGGUAAACUUACGCUAAUACCGCAUACGACCUACGGGUGAAAGCAGGGGAUCUUCGGACCUUGCGCGAUUGAAUUAGCCGAUGUCGGAUUAGCUAGUUGGCGGGGUAAAGGCCCACCAAGGCGACGAUCCGUAGCUGGUCUGAGAGGAUGAUCAGCCACACUGGAACUGAGGCACGGUCCAGACUACUACGGGAGGCAGCAGUGGGGAAUAUUGGACAAUGGGCGCAAGCCUGAUACAGCCAUACCGCGUGGGUGAAGAAGGCCUUCGGGUUGUAAAGCCCUUUUGUUGGGAAAGAAAAGCAGCAGGUUAAUACCACGCUGUUCUGACGGUACCCAAAGAAUAAGCACCGGCUAACUUCGUG
rnacentral:rRNA from 1 species